rnacentral:rRNA from 1 species
GUGGGGAAUUUUGGACAAUGGGCACAAGCCUGAUCCAGCAAUGCCGCGUGCAGGAAGAAGGCCUUCGGGUUGUAAACUGCUUUUGUACGGAACGAAACGGUCCUGGUUAAUACCUGGGGCUAAUGACGGUACCGUAAGAAUAAGCACCGGCUAACUACGUGCCAGCAGCCGCGGUAAUACGUAGGGUGCGAGCGUUAAUCGGAAUUACUGGGCGUAAAGCGUGCGCAGGCGGUGCUGUAAGACAGGCGUGAAAUCCCCGGGCUCAACCUGGGAAUUGCGCUUGUGACUGCAGUGCUGGAGUACGGCAGAGGGGGAUGGAAUUCCGCGUGUAGCAGUGAAAUGCGUAGAUAUGCGGAGGAACACCGAUUGCGAAGGCAGCUCACUAAGCAAAUAUUGACGCUGAGGCACGAAAGCGUGGGGAUCAAACAGGAUUAGAUACCCUAGUAGUCC